UUUGUUGAGAAAACAUGUAACUAUCGUAUGAACACAUCUUACAGAAGUUAAAUAUAUAUGGUGGCCUAUACUCAGCCAAAAAAACUCCUUUUACCACUGUUUUAUACUUAAGACACAAACAAACGUUUAAAAUUAAUAUUUUACUAUAAAAACCGAAGUUUUUUGAACCAACAAAUUUCAUUACACAAAGCACAACAGAAGUAGACAAAACUUUAUGCUGGCCGCCAGGAUUCGCCUUUUUCUCUUUUUUCCGAGAGCGACACAUGACGUCAGUACAACGUAUUCUUAUCCAUAUAGUGGUUAUGCAUAUGCUUGCUACUGCGGUAAAAUCGUAGUGCAAAGUAAAUACAAACUUAACAUUAAUGUUCUGUGAUUUCUUCGGAAGUUGCCUUGGGAACAUGUUUCCGGCCGUACUUAAAGUUUAAGCUUCUUUACAAGAAGAAGAAAUUAAAACGAGAAAUAAAACGGGAACACAUUUUUACAUACCAGCGUUAAUUGCUCCUAACCCGCUCUUCAAUAAUUAUUAUUAUUCCACGCUUUUUACACAUCGCCCUACCAAGUUGCAACACGAUAGUAUUGCAAGACGUGGCAGUUCAGAUGAAGCAGCUUUGAGUUAACUCGGUUUUGCAUCAGAUUUGGAUUAUACUAUACAUGCUACUAUACAAGACUGAAGUAAGAUAUCGGCGAUGUGACGUCACGAAGUGGUGAUAACGCGAAAGAAGAACCCACUUUAAAUGGCAUUUGACGUCACAGAGGUCCAGUAAAACGUUGCACAAACAAGAAAGAAGUCAAGACGACAAAUAAAGCUGAAGGAGAAAAAGCGCAAGACGAAGAACAGAAACAAAAGACGAAAUGCGAAGGAUAAAUGGUUUGGGGCUUGAGGUGAUUGGGAAAUGCGGUACCGUUGUGAACAUAGACACUUUGUGGUCGGACAUUUAAUAUGGUGUACACUGCAGGUGAUUAUCCUUCAGGAUUUGAACCAUAUUUUUCCUGUAGAUAUUUUAAUGAAUAUGUCCGCUUUCUUGUCUUUCUGCUGCAUGUUUUAUUGAUGCCUUUAAAAUAUAAUUAAACUAAAACGCAA